rnacentral:rRNA from 1 species
CCUACGGGAGGCAGCAGUGAGGAAUAUUGGUCAAUGGGCGGGAGCCUGAACCAGCCAAGUCGCGUGAGGGAAGACGGUCCUAUGGAUUGUAAACCUCUUUAGGCGGGGAGCAAUGCCGGGCACGCGUGCCCGGAGGGAGAGUACCCGCAGAAUAAGCAUCGGCUAACUCCGCGCCAGCAGCCGCGGUAAUACGGUGGAUGCGAGCGUUAUCCGGAUUUAGUGGGUUUAAAGGGUGCGUAGGCGGAGUUUUAAGGUAGCGGUAAAAUGUCCGGGCUCAACCCGGGCCGGCGGUUGAAACUGGGGAUCUUGAGUGGGCGAGAAGUAAGCGGAAGGCGUGGUGUAGCGGUGAAAUGCAUAGAUAUCACGCAGAACUCCGAUUGCGAAGGCAGCAUACCGGCGCCCGACUGACGCUGAGGCACGAAAGCGUGGGGAGCAAACAGGAUUAGAUACCCGUGUAGUC